AGAGCGAACGCUGGCGGCAGGCCUAACACAUGCAAGUCGAACGGACUCUUCGGAGUUAGUGGCGGACGGGUGAGUAACACGUGGGAACGUGCCUUUAGGUUCGGAAUAGCUCCUGGAAACGGGUGGUAAUACCGAAUGUGCCCUUCGGGGGAAAGAUUUAUCGCCUUUAGAGCGGCCCGCGUCUGAUUAGCUUGUUGGUGAGGUAAUGGCUCACCAAGGCUACGAUCAGUAGCUGGUCUGAGAGGAUGACCAGCCACAUUGGGACUGAGACACGGCCCAAACUCCUACGGAGGCAGCAGUGGGGAAUCUGCGCAAGUGGGACGAAACGCCGUGACGCAGACCAGUCGCGCGUGUAUGAUAGGAACGGUACUUAAGGUAUUAAGUUAAAAAUUACUUUACGACCGGUUAGAAAGAUUAAAUGAACUGUAGACCGGAGAAAGAACGACCCCGAUAACUUCGU
rnacentral:rRNA from 1 species